ACCGAGUUCCUUGUGUGGGC
rnacentral:piRNA from 1 species